GUUGUACUCCCUCCGUUCAGAAAUACUUGUCAUCAAAAUAAAUAAAAGAGGAUGUAUCUAGAUGUAUUUUAGAUCUAGAUACAUCUUUUUUUUUCAUUUUGAUGACAAGUAUUUUCGAACGGGGGAGUAAUUG
rfam:Triticum aestivum genome assembly, contig: Triticum_aestivum_CS42_TGACv1_scaffold_130249_2BL